rnacentral:rRNA from 1 species
ACGGGAGGCAGCAGUAGGGAAUCUUCCGCAAUGAACGGAAGUCUGACGGAGCAACACCGCGUGAAUGAUAAAGGUUUUCGGAUCGUAAAGCUCUGUUGUUAGGGAAGAACAAGUGCGAGAGUAACUGCUCGCACCUUGACGGUACCUAACCAGAAAGCCACGGCUAACUACGUGCCAGCAGCCGCGGUAAUACGUAGAUGGCAAGCGUUGUCCGGAAUUAUUGGGCGUAAAGGGCUCGCAGACGGUUUCUUAAGUCUGAUGUGAAAGCCCCCGGCUCAACCGGGGAGGGUCAUUGGAAACUGGGAAACUUGAGUACAGAAGAGGAGAGUGGAAUUCCACGUGUAGCGGUGAAAUACGUAGAGAUGUGGAGGAACACCAGUGGCGAAGGCGACUCUCUGGUCUGUAACUGACGCUGAGGAGCGAAAGCGUGGGGAGCGAACAGGAUUAGAUACCCUGGUAGUCCACGCCGUAAACGAUAAGUGCUAAGUGUUAGGGGGUUUCCGCCCCUUAGUGCUGCAGCUAACGCAUUAAGCACUCCACCUGGGGAGUACGGUCGCAAGACUGAAACUCAAAGGAAUUGAC